rnacentral:rRNA from 2 species
GAAGAGGGAAACAACCCAGACCGCCAGCUAAGGUCCCAAAGUCAUGGUUAAGUGGGAAACGAUGUGGGAAGGCCCAGACAGCCAGGAUGUUGGCUUAGAAGCAGCCAUCAUUUAAAGAAAGCGUAAUAGCUCACUGGUCGAGUCGGCCUGCGCGGAAGAUGUAACGGGGCUAAACCAUGCACCGAAGCUGCGGCAGCGACGCUUAUGCGUUGUUGGGUAGGGGAGCGUUCUGUAAGCCUGUGAAGGUGUGCUGUGAGGUAUGCUGGAGGUAUCAGAAGUGCGAAUGCUGACAUAAGUAACGAUAAAGCGGGUGAAAAGCCCGCUCGCCGGAAGACCAAGGGUUCCUGUCCAACGUUAAUCGGGGCAGGGUGAGUCGACCCCUAAGGCGAGGCCGAAAGGCGUAGUCGAUGGGAAACAGGUUAAUAUUCCUGUACUUGGUGUUACUGCGAAGGGGGGACGGAGAAGGCUAUGUUGGCCGGGCGACGGUUGUCCCGGUUUAAGCGUGUAGGCUGGUUUUCCAGGCAAAUCCGGAAAAUCAAGGCCGAGGCGUGAUGACGAGGCACUACGGUGCUGAAGCAACAAAUGCCCUGCUUCCAGGAAAAGCCUCUAAGCAUCAGGUAACAUCAAAUCGUACCCCAAACCGACACAGGUGGUCAGGUAGAGAAUACCAAGGCGCUUGAGAGAACUCGGGUGAAGGAACUAGGCAAAAUGGUGCCGUAACUUCGGGAGAAGGCACGCUGAUACGUAGGUGAAGCGACUUGCUCGUGGAGCUGAAAUCAGUCGAAGAUACCAGCUGGCUGCAACUGUUUAUUAAAAACACAGCACUGUGCAAACACGAAAGUGGACGUAUACGGUGUGACGCCUGCCCGGUGCCGGAAGGUUAAUUGAUGGGGUUAGCGCAAGCGAAGCUCUUGAUCGAAGCCCCGGUAAACGGCGGCCGUAACUAUAACGGUCCUAAGGUAGCGAAAUUCCUUGUCGGGUAAGUUCCGACCUGCACGAAUGGCGUAAUGAUGGCCAGGCUGUCUCCACCCGAGACUCAGUGAAAUUGAACUCGCUGUGAAGAUGCAGUGUACCCGCGGCAAGACGGAAAGACCCCGUGAACCUUUACUAUAGCUUGACACUGAACAUUGAGCCUUGAUGUGUAGGAUAGGUGGGAGGCUUUGAAGUGUGGACGCCAGUCUGCAUGGAGCCGACCUUGAAAUACCACCCUUUAAUGUUUGAUGUUCUAACGUGGACCCGUGAUCCGGGUUGCGGACAGUGUCUGGUGGGUAGUUUGACUGGGGCGGUCUCCUCCUAAAGAGUAACGGAGGAGCACGAAGGUUGGCUAAUCCUGGUCGGACAUCAGGAGGUUAGUGCAAUGGCAUAAGCCAGCUUGACUGCGAGCGUGACGGCGCGAGCAGGUGCGAAAGCAGGUCAUAGUGAUCCGGUGGUUCUGAAUGGAAGGGCCAUCGCUCAACGGAUAAAAGGUACUCCGGGGAUAACAGGCUGAUACCGCCCAAGAGUUCAUAUCGACGGCGGUGUUUGGCACCUCGAUGUCGGCUCAUCACAUCCUGGGGCUGAAGUAGGUCCCAAGGGUAUGGCUGUUCGCCAUUUAAAGUGGUACGCGAGCUGGGUUUAGAACGUCGUGAGACAGUUCGGUCCCUAUCUGCCGUGGGCGCUGGAGAACUGAGGGGGGCUGCUCCUAGUACGAGAGGACCGGAGUGGACGCAUCACUGGUGUUCGGGUUGUCAUGCCAAUGGCACUGCCCGGUAGCUAAAUGCGGAAGAGAUAAGUGCUGAAAGCAUCUAAGCACGAAACUUGCCCCGAGAUGAGUUCUCCCUGACCCUUUAAGGGUCCUGAAGGAACGUUGAAGACGACGACGUUGAUAGGCCGGGUGUGUAAGCGCAGCGAUGCGUUGAGCUAACCGGUACUAAUGAACCGUGAGGCUUAACCUUACAACGCCGAAG